UAUGGAAGGCAGCAGUGGGGAAUAUUGCACAAUGGGCGCAAGCCUGAUGCAGCCAUGCCGCGUGUAUGAAGAAGGCCUUCGGGUUGUAAAGUACUUUCAGUCGUGAGGAAGGUGUUAAGGUUAAUAACCUUAGCAAUUGACGUUAGCGACAGAAGAAGCACCGGCUAACUCCGUGCCAGCAGCCGCGGUAAUACGGAGGGUGCGAGCGUUAAUCGGAAUUACUGGGCGUAAAGGGCACGCAGGCGGUUAAUUAAGUUGGAUGUGAAAUCCCCGGGCUUAACCUGGGAAUGGCAUUCAAGACUGGUUAGCUAGAGUCUUGUAGAGGGGGUAGAAUUCCAUGUGUAGCGGUGAAAUGCGUAGAGAUGUGGAGGAAUACCGGUGGCGAAGGCGGCCCCUGGGACAAAGACUGACGCUCAUGUGCGAAAGCGUGGGGAGCAAACAGGGAUUAGAUACC
rnacentral:rRNA from 1 species